AUUCAACCAAAACAAACAUGUCCGUCAUACAAGCAGUUCAUGAAGUACAAAAAAUCAAAAUCCAAAGAGCGUCAGGCCUUCAGCUGUGGAGCAAAAUUAAAACUCAAGCAACAGAGUAAACAUGUCAAGGUAAGCCAUCACAGGUAAAUUUAUAAACGAGGAUUUAGCAAUUAUUCUUAAAGUUAUCUUGCUUGUAUUAUUUGUUUCUAGAUCAAUAUAGGAAUAAUGGUGUCACAACAAACGGACUUAAAACCGCUAAGAGGGAAAACACUGCCCUUAUUUAUUAGCCCCGAAAUUACAGCCCCUGACCUCCUGAAGCAGGCUGUAGAAAAAAUGAUAGCAUUCAACAAGGACUUGGUGGAGGGACCAUAUGUCCUUUUGUAUCCCGACUGCACAGAGGUGAUAAAUUUGCCUGGGACAGAAGGGCCAUUCUGACUGGCAGACUACAAAGAGGAAAUAGGAAAGAACUACAACAGGAUUUCUCUUUUCAUUUGCCCAGAGAGCCACUUCAAACAAGCUCUGAUUGCAGAGGAUGGUACCUCAGACUCAGACCCUUUGAUUGUGAUUACAUCAAGAAGCACAGCUGAGUUCAACCAGGCAGACACAUUGGUUUUCAAACCACAAGACCAGAGUACCCCUAAUGGUAAACAUGCAGAGAAGGA